rnacentral:tRNA from 1 species
GCGGACGUGGCGGAAUGGUAGACGCGCUAGCUUGAGGGGCUAGUGGGCUCUUUUGCCCGUGGAGGUUCAAGUCCUCUCGUCCGCA